AGGAUGAACGCUGGCGGCGUGCCUAAUACAUGCAAGUCGAGCGGUAAGGCCCCUUCGGGGGUACACGAGCGGCGGACGGCUGAGUAACACGUAGGAACGUACCCCAAACUGAGGGAUAAGCACCAGAAAUGGUGUCUAAUACCGCAUGUGCUCUCCGGAGUAAAGCUAUGGCGGUUUGGGAACGGCCUGCGCAUGAUUAGCUUGUUGGUGAGGUAAUAGCUCACCAAGGCGACGAUCAUUAGCUGGUCUGAGAGGAUGACCAGCCAGACUGGGACUGAGAACGGCCCAGACUCCUACGGGAGGCAGCAGUAGGGAAUUUUCCACAAUGGGCGAAAGCCUGAUGGAGCAACGCCGCGUGCAGGAAGAAGGUUUUCGGAUCGUAAACUGCUUUCUCGGGAAGAGAACGGACGGUACCCGAGGAAUCAGCCCCGGCUAACUACGUGCCAGCAGCCGC
rnacentral:rRNA from 1 species